rnacentral:lncRNA from 12 species
UUUUCUGAUUUGUUUUCCGAUAUUUUCCCUGAUUUUUUUCUGAUGUUUCUUCCGAUUUUUCUUCCCGAUUUUUCCCCGAUUUUUCCCGAUUUUUUCUGAUUUCUUUCCCGAAUUUUUCCCGAUUUUUCCCCGAUUUUUUACUGAUUUAUUCCUGAAUUUUUUUUCUGAUUUUUUCCUAUUUUUUCUGAUUUUUAAUUUUUUUUUUCGAUUUUUUUUCCGAUUUUUUUUCCGAUUUUUUUCUGAUUUUUUUCCCGAUUUUUUCCCCGAUUUUUUCCCCGAUUUUUUCUGAUUGCUUUCCCGAUUUUUCUCUCGAUUUUUCCUGAUUUUUCCUGAUUUUUUUUCCCGAUUUUUUCCCAGAUUUUUCCCGGUUUUUUCUGGGUUUUUUUCCGAUUUUUUUUCCCAUUUUAUUUCGAAUUUUUCUGAUUUUUUCCCGAUUUUUUUUUCCGAUUUUUUUCUGGUUUUUUCCCGAUUUAUUUACGAUUUUCAUCGCCGAUUUUUUUCUGAUUUUCUCCGAUUUUUUUCUGAUUUUUUUCAAUUUUUUUCUGACUUUUCUCUAUUUUUUUCCGAUUUUUUUAUCGAUUUUUUCCUAUUUUUUCUGAUCUUUUUUAGAUUUUUUUCCGAUUUUUUCCCCCGAUUUUUUUCUGAUUUUUUGCUGAUUUUUUUCGAUUUUUUCAGAUUUUUUUUAUUUUUUCGCGAUUUUUUUAAUGAUUUCUUCCGAUUUUUUCCCAAUUUAUUUCCGAUAUUUUCCCGACUUUUAAAAAGAUUUAUCCCGAUUUUUCCCGAUUUUUUUUCCCCGAUUUUUUUCAGAUUUUUUUCCAAUUAUAUUCUUAUUUUUUCCCGAUUUUUUACUGAUUUUUUUAUUUUUUUCUGAUUUUUUCUGAUAUUUUCCCGAUUUAUUUCCGAUUUUUUCCUGAUUUUUUUCCAUUUAUAUUCUGAUUUUUUCCAUUUUUUCCCGAUUUUUUACUGAUUUUUUUUAUUUUUUUCCGACUCUUUCUGAUUUUUUUCCGAUUUUCUUUCCGAUUUUUUCCCGAAUUUUUCUGAUUUUUUCCGAUUUUUUUCCCGAUUUUCCCCUAUUUUUUUUUCCCGAAUUUUUCCCGGUUUUUUCCCAUUUUAUUGCGACUAAUUUUCCGAUUUUUUAGGAGCUGUUGGUGGAGCGAUGCGGGUCUGAAAGGCUCAAAAGUGGGAAGUACCGGGGAAAUUUGGGGAAAUUUU